AAGACUAUACUUUCAGGGGUCAUUUCUAUAGUUUGUUACUAGAGUGCACUGUGUAUAAACAGUGAUCUUUCU
rnacentral:snoRNA from 1 species